AACUAACAGGAUUCCCCUAGUAACUGCGAGUGAAGCGGGAAAAGCUCAAAUUUAAAAUCUGUCAGUCUUUUGGCUGUCCGAGUUGUAAUCUAGAGAAGUGCUAUCCGCGCUGGACCGUGUACAAGUCUCCUGGAAUGGAGCGUCGUAGAGGGUGAGAAUCCCGUCUUUGACACGGACUACCAGGGCUUUGUGAUGCGCUCUCAAAGAGUCGAGUUGUUUGGGAAUGCAGCUCAAAAUGGGUGGUAAAUUCCAUCUAAAGCUAAAUAUUGGCGAGAGACCGAUAGCGAACAAGUACCGUGAGGGAAAGAUGAAAAGAACUUUGGAAAGAGAGUUAAACAGUACGUGAAAUUGCUGAAAGGGAAACGCUUGAAGUCAGUCACGUUGACCAGGGAUCAACCCUUGCUUUUGCUUGGUGUACUUUCUGGUUGACGGGUCAGCAUCAAUUUUGACUAUUGGAAAAAGAUUAGGGGAAUGUGGCAUCUUCGGAUGUGUUUAUAGCCUCUGGUUGCAUACAAUGGUUGAGAUUGAGGAACUCAGCAUGCCRCAAGGCCGGGUUUUUACCACGUACAUGCUUAGGAUGUUGGCAUAAUGGCUUUAAUCGACCCGUCUUGAAACACGGACCAAGGAGUCUAACAUAUCUGCGAGUGUUUGGGUGGAAAACCCGAGCGCGUAAUGAAAGURAAAGUUGAGAUCCCUGUCGUGGGGAGCAUCGACGCCCGGACCAGACCUUUUGUGACGGUUCCGCGGUAGAGCAAGUAUGUUGGGACCCGAAAGAUGGUGAACUAUGCCUGAAUAGGGUGAAGCCAGAGGAAACUCUGGUGGAGGCUCGUAGCGAUUCUGACGUGCAAAUCGAUCGUCAAAUUUGGGUAUAGGGGCGAAAGACUA
rnacentral:rRNA from 1 species